rnacentral:rRNA from 1 species
CUGGCGGCGUGCUUAACACAUGCAAGUCGAACGCGAAAGGGACUUCGGGUCCUGAGUAAAGUGGCGCACGGGUGAGUAACGCGUAGAUAACCUGUCUUCAUGUCUGGAAUAAUACGCCGAAAGGGGUACUAAUACCGGAUAUUCUUGCUUUUCAUAAGUUAUGCAAGCAAAGGUGGCCUCUGCAUAUGCUACUGCAUGAAGAGGGGUCUGCGUACCAUUAGCUAGUAGGUGGGGUAAUGGCCUACCUAGGCGACGAUGGUUAGCGGGUCUGAGAGGAUGAUCCGCCACACUGGCACUGGAACACGGGCCAGACUCCUACGGGAGGCAGCAGUGAGGAAUAUUGCGCAAUGGGGGAAACCCUGACGCAGCGACGCCGCGUGAGUGAAGGAAGGCCUUCGGGUCGUAAAGCUCUGUCAAGAGGAAAGAAGUGUACAAUGGCUAAUACCUGUUGUAUUUGACGGUACCUCUAAAGGAAGCACCGGCUAACUCCGUGCCAGCAGCCGC